rnacentral:rRNA from 1 species
GCACGCGAGCUGGGUUCAGAACGUCGUGAGACAGUUCGGUCCCUAUCCGUCGCGGGCGCAGGAAAUUUGAGAGGAGCUGUCCUUAGUACGAGAGGACCGGGAUGGACACACCGCUGGUGUACCAGUUGUUCCGCCAGGAGCAUCGCUGGGUAGCUAUGUGUGGCAGGGAUAAACGCUGAAAGCAUCUAAGCGUGAAGCCCCCCUCAAGAUGAGAUUUCCCAUUUCUUCGGAAAGUAAGAUCCCUGAAAGAUGAUCAGGUAGAUAGGUUUGGAGUGGAAGUGUAGCGAUACAUGGAGCGGACAAAUACUAAUCGAUCGAGGACUUAACCAAAA